rnacentral:rRNA from 1 species
UACGUAGGGGGCAAGCGUUGUCCGGAUUUAUUGGGCGUAAAAGGCUUGUAGGUGGCCACGCCAAGUCGGAUGUGAAAUCUCCCGGCUCAACUGGGAGGGGUCAUUCGAUACUGGCGGGCUCGAGGCCGGUAGGGGGAAGUGGAAUUCCCGGUGUAGUGGUGGAAUGCGUAGAUAUCGGGAGGAACACCAGUGGCGAAGGCGGCUUCCUGGACCGGUUCGUGACA